rnacentral:tRNA from 1 species
GAAGGUAGAGUUCAAGUGGUAGAGCGCAUGCUCAGGAUGCACAGGAUCCUGGGUUCAAUCCCCAGUACCUCCU